AUUAAGCCUGUGGCUCAAGCAUUAAUGGAUGGCAAAGUUUGUCAUGUGGGAAGAAACACAGCCUAGUUAGAGCUUUGGGUGGUCAGUUCUUCAUCUGAUACUUGAUAUUGCAUGACCCCAAUGUAGGCUAAUGGAUGAAGAGGUGGAGAUGGGGCCAAUUUGAGGCCCUACAAAGAGGAGUCCAAAAACUUUUUUCUGCAAAGGGCCUGGUAGUGAAUAUUUUCAGCUUUGUGGACUAUAUCAAGGGUCCCCAACCUGUUAGGAACUGGACCACACAGCAGGAGAACAAUGAUCAAGACCAAAACAAUCUGACCACAAAAAUAAAUCAGAUCAACAUUGCCACAUCUUUGGAGGAACUUCAAAGAAACUUUCUCUUACCUGUUACCAUCAGCUGGAAAAGCUACAGGGCCUCCCAGCAAACCAUGUCUGAUUUGGGGAAUAAAUAAAAAAGACAUUAUUUCUGAGUCAUGGCUUCUGAGUUCUGGCGCCUCUAAGGAAGUAAUUAAGAUUCUACAAGCCAGGAAGAGAAACUGAAACUGACCAUGCUGGUACCUUGAGCUUGGACUGCGGCCUUCAAAACUGUGAGA